rnacentral:rRNA from 1 species
AGUGAACGCUGGCGGUAGGCCUAACACAUGCAAGUCGAACGGCAGCACAGUAAGAGCUUGCUCUUACGGGUGGCGAGUGGCGGACGGGUGAGGAAUACAUCGGAAUCUACUUUUUCGUGGGGGCUAACGUAGGGAAACUUACGCUAAUACCGCAUACGACCUACGGGUGAAAGCAGGGGAUCUUCGGACCUUGCGCGAUUGAAUGAGCCGAUGUCGGAUUAGCUAGUUGGCGGGGUAAAGGCCCACCAAGGCGACGAUCCGUAGCUGGUCUGAGAGGAUGAUCAGCCACACUGGAACUGAGAAACGGUCCAGACUCCUACGGGAGGCAGCAGUGGGGAAUAUUGGGCAAUGGGCGAAAGCCUGAUCCAGCCAUACCGCGUGGGUGAAGAAGGACUUCGGGUUGUAAAGCCCUUUUGUUGGGAAAGAAAAGCAGCAGGUUAAUACCCCGCUGUUCUGACGGUACCCAAAGAAUAAGCACCGGCUAACUUCGUG